rnacentral:rRNA from 1 species
AUUGAACGCUGGCGGCAGGCCUAACACAUGCAAGUCGAGCGGAUGAGGGGAGCUUGCUCCUGGAUUCAGCGGCGGACGGGUGAGUAAUGCCUAGGAAUCUGCCUGGUAGUGGGGGAUAACGUCCGGAAACGGGCGCUAAUACCGCAUACGUCCUGAGGGAGAAAGUGGGGGAUCUUCGGACCUCACGCUAUCAGAUGAGCCUAGGUCGGAGUAGCUAGUUGGUGGGGUAAAGGCCUACCAAGGCGACGAUCCGUAACUGGUCUGAGAGGAUGAUCAGUCACACUGGAACGGAGACACGGUCCAGACUCCUGCGGGAGGCAGCAGUGGGGAAUAUUGGACAAUGGGGGAGAGCCUGGUCCAGCCAUGCCGCGUGUGUGAAGAAGGUCUUCGGAUUGUAAAGCACUUUAAGUUGGGAGGAAGGGCAGUAAGUUGAUACCUUGCUGUUUUGACGUUACCAACAGAAUAAGCACCGGCUAACUUCGUG